AUUGAACGCUAGCGGGAUGCUUUACACAUGCAAGUCGAACGAGUGGCGGACGGGUGAGUAAUAUAUCGGACCGUGCCCAGUAGCGGGGGAUAAGUACCGGAAAGAGAGGCUAAUAACGCAUACAAUAGGAGAGGCGGGUAUCGGAUUAGCUAGUUGUUGGGGUAAAGGCUCACCAAGGCCACGAUCCGUAGCUGGUUUGAGAGGACGACCAGCCACACUGGGACUGAGACACGGCCCAGACUCCUACGGGAGGCAGCAGUGGGGAAUUUUGGACAAUGGGGGAAACCCUGAUGCAGCCAUCCCGCGUGUAUGAGAAGGCCUUCGGGUUGUAAAGUACUUUUGGCAGAGAAGCGGUAUCUGCAGAAUAAGCACCGGCUAACUACGUGCCAGCAGCCGCGGUAAUAC
rnacentral:rRNA from 1 species